UACGUAGGGGGCUAGCGUUGUCCGGAUUUAUUGGGCGUAAAGAGCGUGUAGGCGGCCAGGUAGGUCCGUUGUGAAAACUCGAGGCUCAACCUCGAGACGUCGGCGGAAACCCUCUGGCUAGAGUCCGGAAGAGGAGAGUGGAAUUCCUGGUGUAGCGGUGAAAUGCGUAGAGAUCAGGAGGAACACCCAUGGCGAAGGCAGCUCUCUGGUCGACAUCUGACGCUGAGACGCGAAAGCGUGGGGAGCGAACGGG
rnacentral:rRNA from 1 species